rnacentral:sRNA from 1 species
UCAUCAUAGUCACGUUUUAUUGGCAAAGAGUAAGAAAUUGAAAUAAUAGUAUAAAUUUAGAUCUUUUACUUUAAAAUUACGUGCGCUGGAAUUAGGUGGUGUGUUUGACGCUCUUUAAUGAUGCUAAUAACCAGUGUUUAUUAAAUUAACUACAUCUGAGUCGAAAACGUCGUGGCCUCGGAAUGGUUGCACGAAUAUUCAACAUAAAGAAGGCCUCAAUCACCUUAAAGCGUUUACCCAAUAUCAACGUAAAUGGCCUAGUUUCCAUUCCCAUCGGCAACCAAAUGUACAAGUUGCACUGGAAGCAUACUUGGGCUGGCCCAUUGAGCUCGCCAAUAGAUAACAUGACACCCGACGGGCGCGUGUGAGACCUGGCCACUCGCUACACUGGAGAUUAUGAAAAAGGAAAUAAUCCAAAAGGUUUCUGCGCGCAAGUAAGUCGUCUUUAGAUUGGCGGAGUUAAGUUUCUUUAAAAUCUCAUGCAGGUCAAUCGAGCGCCUUUAAGAAAUCAACAUUUUUAGUGCUGUGCCGAUUUUCAGGGCUUUGGCGAAUCUAAAAUGUACAUCCCUCCAAAAUCGGAUCCACAUCUACCAGGCUUAUGGACUGUAAUAUAUUCAAUAUCGUCGGUACCUGGAAAUCUAAAAAUGUAAAGUUCAGACAAAUCUGGAUCGAGUUUGUCUAUUUUAAAGGCUUUUAUGAAUCCUUAAAGCCUAAUGUGAGCACAAAAACUGAGGUAAAGUUCUGCGAUUUUGUUUAUACAAAUUUCUAAGAAGGCAAACCCACCCGACUCAGCAGUUUUUCAUAAAAACAUGUUCCUAUUGACUACUUGGGUUUAACUAACAAAGUCUUAAAUUGUGAGCGGACGAAAAAACCGGCGCACAGAAAUUGAGCAAGCGAUCAAAAAGUGAGUGAGUGAGCGAUGAGCCACACUGUUGGGCAUACACACCCGCACAAACACGUGUAUGUGCAGAGAUGAGCCAAGCCCAGAGAUAAGCAGCACCUGUUUGUGUGUGUGUGUUCGCUGCUCACGCUCACGCGCUCUCGAUUCAUUUUGGCGCUGAUCGCUGAUUGGUCCAAUCAAUAAUUGCUGGCAAUCGUGUUCUCGCCUGGUCGUUUGCGGGCAUCAUUACUCUGAGUUAAUUUGGCCCCAUGAGUCAAUCGGGCAUGUUGGUAAACUGUGAGUGAUAGUCUAUUGAGCUCUUUUUUUAACUCGAACUGACUAAAACAUAAUAUAAUAUUAAUUAGCAGCCUGCAGUAGCUGUCAUAUCAUGUGCUUUCGCAAUUGAUGUCUUAUUAUGAUUGUCUUAUGGUUAUUUAGUGCUCACUCUUCUUUUAAUUUGUUUGCAUGUAAAUCGUUAGUAGUUAUCCCGAGCUUAAAAAGUGUAAUAUUUCUAAUUUCUUAUUUAGCCGAGAUACUAACAAAAAAAACCGAAGGGAUUAUAUUGUUUUCUAACGUCAUAUUUCCGAACGGCACAUUAAAAUUCAAAAUAAAUUUUUCAGUUUCUAUUUUUCAGCCAAAUUAGCCAUGGACAGCAUAUGAUCGCUAUUUAUGUUACCUAGUUGACCUAUAUAAUGUUGGUUAUUCCAUAUCAUGGGUAUAGUCAUAGCGUACCCAAAGGACCGAGCGCUCGCAAAAUGCCCAAGAAGUGCGUUGAAAAAUAUGUAUGCUUUUAUUUUACAGCAGCCCGCCCCUGCAUGGUUUCUAGUUGACUAACAUAUCUUUGGUUAUACCAUGCCAUCGAUAUAUCCUUGGGAACCUAAAGGAUCAGAUCCCUGCAAAAUGUGCAUUGAACUGGUCCAAAAACAUGUAUGCUUUUUAUUACAGGAGCCCUUUUACAUUAGCUGCAGCUGUUGUUUAACAGCCGCUUUACAUCACUCGUUUUACAUAAACGCUACUUAACAGUACUCAUUUUAAUUGAGUUACAUUUUUGCCCCUUAUGGCUAUGCAAUAAAAAUUUUUAUUCGAAGAAAUCGUCGAC